rnacentral:rRNA from 1 species
AUUGAACGCUGGCGGCAGGCCUAACACAUGCAAGUCGAACGGUAACAGGAAGCAGCUUGCUGCUUCGCUGACGAGUGGCGGACGGGUGAGUAAUGUCUGGGAAACUGCCUGAUGGAGGGGGAUAACUACUGGAAACGGUAGCUAAUACCGCAUAACGUCGCAAGACCAAAGAGGGGGACCUUAGGGCCUCUUGCCAUCGGAUGUGCCCAGAUGGGAUUAGCUAGUAGGUGGGGUAACGGCUCACCUAGGCGACGAUCCCUAGCUGGUCUGAGAGGAUGACCAGCCACACUGGAACUGAGACACGGUCCAGACGCCUACGGGAGGCAGCAGUGGGGAAUAUUGCACAAUGGGCGCAAGCCUGAUGCAGCCAUGCCGCGUGUAUGAAGAAGGCCUUCGGGUUGUAAAGUACUUUCAGCGGGGAGGAAGGGAGUAAAGUUAAUACCUUUGCUCAUUGACGUUACCCGCAGAAGAAGCGCCGGCUAACUCCGUG